UACAGGGGGGGCAAGCGUUGUUCGGAAUUACUGGGCGUAAAGGGCGCGUAGGCGGCCUUCUAAGUCGAACGUGAAAUCCCCGGGCUCAACCCGGGAACUGCGUCCGAUACUGGAAGGCUUGAAUCCGGGAGAGGGAUGCGGAAUUCCAGGUGUAGCGGUGAAAUGCGUAGAUAUCUGGAGGAACACCGGUGGCGAAGGCGGCGUCCUGGACCGGUAUUGACGCUGAGGCGCGAAAGCCAGGGGAGCAAACGGG
rnacentral:rRNA from 1 species